ACAAUUUAAACAACCUAUUAAUGGGUUGGCCCAUGGACACAUAUGCCCACAUAGGUGGCAGUGUUGGGCCAAGGGCAAGGUUCUGAACUAACCACUGUCAUUUAAACUCUCAGGUGUGCUUCACAGAUGACCUCACCCUUAUAAAACCCAAAACUACUUUAGGCCCCAGAUACAGAAGGAAAGAUCAUGUUUUAUAGUUAAUACAACAAC